rnacentral:rRNA from 1 species
GAUGAACGCUGGCGGCGUGCCUAAUACAUGCAAGUCGAGCGAACAGACGAGGAGCUUGCUCCUCUGACGUUAGCGGCGGACGGGUGAGUAACACGUGGAUAACCUACCUAUAAGACUGGGAUAACUUCGGGAAACCGGAGCUAAUACCGGAUAAUAUAUUGAACCGCAUGGUUCAAUAGUGAAAGACGGUUUUGCUGUCACUUAUAGAUGGAUCCGCGCCGCAUUAGCUAGUUGGUAAGGUAACGGCUUACCAAGGCAACGAUGCGUAGCCGACCUGAGAGGGUGAUCGGCCACACUGGAACUGAGACACGGUCCAGACUCCUACGGGAGGCAGCAGUAGGGAAUCUUCCGCAAUGGGCGAAAGCUUGACGGAGCUACGCCGCGUGAGUGAUGAAGGUCUUCGGAUCGUAAAACUCUGUUAUUAGGGAAGAACAAAUGUGUAAGUAACUAUGCACGUCUUGACGGUACCUAAUCAGAAAGCCACGGCUAACUACGU